UUGAUAUAUAAAUGAACUCAUUAUUCGCCUGGAAUUUUUCAUAACUAAGAACCACAAGCUCCAAUGAAGAACAAAUUGUCUAAAAAUAAUUUGUUUUUGAAAUCAGCCAGAAAAAUUUGUGCGUCAAUACGAGUUCAUUUACAUAUCCAAACAUUUGCACCUGUCAAAAUAACGAAACGCGGAAAUUGACGCAAGAAGCUCGAAUUAUAAACAUCUUUUCAAAUAAUUUGUUUUCGAUUUCAGUCGUAAGGAAUUUUGUUUUGCUGUACGUGUCAUAAUGAUGACAUGUUUACAAGAUCUGAUUUUUGACUAUAAAUCAAGCACCAAAAUCGUAGAAAAUUAAGUUAUUGUUCAAGUGAUUCGACUAUAAACAUGUCUAAGCAAUUGAUGGUUUGUUUGGGUCUGGUUGCGGUUUUGGGAGACCAAUUCGUGCAAAUUGAAUGUGUUGGUGGAUUGGUUGACAAAGCAAAGGGAGCCAUAACAAGAG